GGCAUGCCGUCACAAAUGGUUUGGCCAAACACGGGCCAGCCUGGAAAAUGCUGAGGGUGACUCCCUGUCUCUUGGCCUCAUCAGGUGUCUCUGCAGGGAGGAUGCUGCAUGAGGUGUGGGCUCAGCACUAGUCUCACCAGGGCUUGCAGUACUGAAGGACACCUCACAGGGACUCUGUUAGCAGGAGCUCAUACCAGGUACCACCACACAGAGCUGCAGUGUACACACAUAAAUAAAAAAGAAGGUUGUGCCAAAAUUCUUCAUGAACAGUUUGCAUUAUUUAAUGACAGUUUCUCCAAAUCAGAAAGAACUGAGCCAACUUAUGAGAUAAUAAAAAGCAGCCCCUACCUUCAGGGCACCCUGAGAAGGGUGGGGAUGAAGGAUAUUGCCAUGCAAAAUGUCCCAACAAAGACCAGCUUCUUGUUUGGAGCUGCAGGCUGGGAGGAGCAGUGCAUGGCCAGGUCCCUGCUGUUGCCCUUGCCUGCCUGCAGGAAAGUGUGUGGCUGCUGCUGACAAGGAAGAGUUGUGAGUAUCUGGGAUGACAGCUACUGCUACAGAAAAGGGGUAAAUGACCUCCCCUCACAUCAGUCGUUGCUGCCCUAUCUCUCCAGCCCUGCUGCAGGAGUGGCAAGCCCUAGGAAAGUUCUAAGCACCCACUGGUACCAGGUUUGAGAAGAUUACUCUGUGCCUCCUACUAGCAAUCAUCCACAGUACUUUUCCCUAAGUACUUUACUGAGUGGGUAUGCACUUCCUUUUUACUGAUGGAAAAACAGAAAGAAAAAGAUGAAAUGAUCUGCCCGGGAUAAACAGCUUGGUAUGCUGCCUUUUCAAAGCCUUUAGGAUUGCAUUUUUUACCUGGCCAGGGGCAGCCUGCUGGAACGACACUAAACUGGGCUCAAGGCAGCUCUUCAGUCCUUAGUUCUGCUUGCUCGAAGGGAGCAGGCUGAGGAGAGUCCCCAGCUCACAGCUGCCUCUUCGGCUGCUUUUUCAGAUGGCCGUGGAAAUAACCCCAAGGGGCCAGACUUUCAGUUCUUCGUUUUGCCCUCUGACCCAACCUGACUUUGAGAUGACUGGUUUUAUGUUCGAGGGUGGAUCAGCUGCCACCAUCUGAUACGCAUCCCUGGGGACCUGACUCCUCUUUGACGCUUCAUUGAGUCUUGUUAAGACAGUUGUGCUUGUUUGCAGAGGAAGGGCACCUAUUAUAUUCCUGUGCACAUCGGUGUGAUGAGAGGGCUGGAUUUUCAAACUCAUGGGUGGGAGGCAGUUUGACUACUUCUGGUAGCAGUAACUUUCCCGCUGGCUGGAGGGGGUUUUCUAUGGUCUUAUUUCAGCUUGCAAGCUGGAGCAUCUAUUUCGAACUUAUUCAGGUCCUUGUGAAGAGAUGAGUGACCUAGAACUCCCUUUGGAGCCAGCAGCAGCUGGGAUGGCUCCUUUUUCCUAAGGCAUCUUAUGAGGAAGAGUCAGUAUCUGACGCUUUGUCCCUGAUGACUCUGGUGAUCACAAUCUGAGGCUUUCAGACAAUGAGUAGCAAAGAAGGAGCGAGAUGCUAUGUGUCCCAGAGGCCUGCAGGACAGAGUUUAAGGGACAGCUGAGCAGAACAAGUAGAGCAAGUAGAGGUUCAGACCUAGUUUCUGAGGUCGCUUGGUCUUGGUUUUGUGACUGGUCAGACUCGGUACACUAAUUUAAGUUUAUGGCACCAGGAUCAUAUUCAUGCUGAUGUGUUUAGGGUAACAGCAAUUUUGUUCAUUAGCAAGUCAGAGCCCCAAGUCUAAAAGCCAGACAAAGGAAGAACAAGGGGGUAGGGGGGCAGACAAGGGGGAAGACAAGCAUUGCCUUUUAACAAUAAAGAAUCAUUGUUUUCUUGUCCAAUAGAAGUAGCAGAACGUAUUUCUCCUGAGGGUCUGAUUUUUCCAUGAAUCUCCAGUUCAGCUAUGAAUUCUGUCUUUUGCCCUAACCACCAGUUGCAGACUAGCCAGGGAUUUCACUUAUUUUUGCCUCCCGUGUUGCCUCUGGGCAGGACGUAGGACAGGUUACCCACAGCAGAGAACCUGCCACCAUUGUAAGCUGUAAGUGUUCUCAGAAUACAAUUUAAGUGAACUUAAGACGAGAAAUAGCCCAGAGACAGCGCCUGUGGCCAAAAACUCAGGCAGAAGUGGUGUCAUGUCAGUCCACAGCUAUGCAGUGAGCUACUCUGCAUCUUCCUGCCUUGGUUUGUCCCCUGUGAAAUGGGGAUUAAAAUACUCAUCUGUCUUACACGAAUGAUUAAACGUAGGUUGAAAGAAGGACCUGUAAAAACCUUGAAAACUCUGAGAAUGGCGGUCCUGUUCGCUUAAGGCAGGAUCUGGUCUGGACACUGAACUCCAAAGGGAAGGAUGUAGCAGGGCCAAGGUUCUCACAGCUGAGCACACAGGCUGCCAGGGGAGUGCAGGCACGGGAGGAGGGAGAACACGAGGGUGAUGCAAGAAAUAUUUAAUUUGGUUUAUUUGCUAAAGACAUCACGUGCUGGCUUCAAAAGAAAACCCGAUGGAAAACCCGAGUGGCAAUGAAAAGCUGCCAAUGCUGCUUUGUCGGGGAAUUUGGGUGCAGAAAGAAAAAAAAAAAGAAAAAGGGAAAGAAAAAAAAAAAAAGAAACGCCAAAUCCCCCUCCUCAGUGCCCAAAGCCCAGCCCGGGUCCCCUCGCCUUCUGGAGGGCGGCGCAGCGCUGCCUUGCCCGCGGCGGGGGAGAAGUGAGGGCAGCCCUUGGCCGGGCAGGGUGACCCGGCGCGCACACACACACACACACACACACAUACACAGAGACACGUGUGGGCUGUGCACACACACCUCCGCAGCUGAUGCAGGAAACCAACCGCGGCGGCACAGCCCCCCCCGGCAAAACCCGCAUCCCGGGCCAAAAAAGGGGCGCCGCGGCGGAGAGCACGACGCGCCUCCUCCUCGUAUUUCCUCCCCCGCCCACUUCCAGCGGCGGAGGGGCUCGCUGCCGCCGCCGGCUGCCGCCCGGGAUGGAAA